CAGUCGCCACGGUAAUACGUAGGGUGCAAGCGUUAAUCGGAAUUACUGGGCGUAAAGCGUGCGCAGGCGGUUUGUUAAGACAGAUGUGAAAUCCCCGGGCUCAACCUGGGAACUGCAUUUGUGACUGGCAAGCUAGAGUCUGGCAGAGGGGGGUGGAAUUCCGCGUGUAGCAGUGAAAUGCGUAGAUAUGCGGAGGAACACCGAUGGCGAAGGCAGCCCCCUGGGCCAACACUGACGCUCAUGCACGAAAGCGUGGGGAGCAAACAGGAUUAGAUACCCGGGUAGUCCCUGUCUCUUAUAC
rnacentral:rRNA from 1 species